UUCACUAAUUUUUACUAUCAUUUAUUUCAUGUUUAUCUCUCAAAAUCAGUUCACUUAUCUACUUCCUCGACCAUUCUCAAUCUUGCAUAAACAUUCUCUGCAAAGCUUUUUUUUCCUAACAACUCACCCCCAAAAUUUAGCCAACUCAAAUACUCUCUUGCUUUUGUAAAUUUCCAGCUUGUUCUUCUCCAAAUCGGUAAGUUUAUUUCCCCAAAUUUCAAUUCAUAAAGAACUUCUGAAACUCUGUCAAUUUCUAAAAUCUCAGCAACGAAAACAUUCAGCCUCUUGCAUCCAAGAAAUCACACACACCAAAGCAUAAUCAUUCUAUUUUCUGCAAUACUCCAACACUUUUACUGUUUUACAUGAAAAAUCAAAAGAAAAUGAAAGAAUUAAAAGAAUAAUAGUAAGAAAUUAGAAGAAAAGAAAAGGAAAUGAAUGGAAGAAUUGUUGGUGAAGAUUGUUGUUGCCGGAGAGGUGAAAGGGGGAGGCAGCCUGACCGGCUGCUGCUGUCUGUCGAGGGGCGGCAAGGGCCGCUGCUGUCGGCCAAAGGAGAGAGAGAGGCAGGGGCAGUGGUGGCGCUGGCAGGCGGCGAAGGUCGCCGCCGGAGAAAUGAGUGGCCGCGGCUGGGCGCGGUGAGGAGAGGGACAGAGGGAGGCGGGAGAUGAGGGAGGGAAGUCGACGGAGAGGGAGAGAUGAGGGAAGAGGGAGAGAGGUUGAGGAGAGGACAGGGGAGCCAGAGCCGCCGGCCUCCGGCGGCGGCGUGCCGUCUGGUGGCGGCGGCAGGAGGCCGAGAAGAGGAGAGGGAGGAGGGCUGAGAGAGGGUGAGCUGCGUGAGAUGUGUGUGUCGUGGGACUUAGGAGUGUGAUUAAAUUGGGGUGAAGGGAAGUUUGGGCUUGGGCUUAGGUUAAUGGGCUCAAUUUAUUAAAUGGUUGGGCUUAACUCUAUUUAUAAUAUGGCUGCAUUUGCAUAUAUUUUUACAAAUGAUAUUAUUAAAUUUUAUAUUCGAAUUUGUGUUAUUAAUUUGAACUUAGUUUUACUUAAAUAUUGAGCUCAAAUAUUUUUAUAAGAAAAGUUCUUUUAUAAUUUAUUGGAUCGAUGAUUUUUAAAAGGUUUUAUGAUAAUAAAUUCUUAUGAUUUAAACUACUAUUAUUAUUAUUUUAAAGUUCAAUUAGGUCCUUAUGUUUUAUUAUUUGAAUUUAUCUAACUAGGUGCGGCGCGACUAGGACGUAACUUUUGAUUGAAUUUCUCAAAGUUAGCCUUCAAGUUCAAGUUACAGGUGUGGGAUUUAUUUCAGUAUAUGCUGUGGUUAAUCUUUGUCCAUUUUAAUAUUAUGUGUUUACCAUAUGUGAGUUACAUUAAAUUAUAUCGCUAGGGGCCCGUUGAAUGGGUCCAGGAUGGUAAAGAUCCUUGGUAUGCCACAAUGCGAUAUACAUGUUAAAGUUAUGGUUGCAACCAGUCGCCAGGGGCCGGCUGAAUCGGUCCAGGACGGAAAGGUCCUUGGUAUGCCACCGUGCGACUUUCAGUUACGAAUGUUUGAUCAUAUGUGUUUCCAUUUUAUUAACGUGGACAAUGAUUGCAUGUUCCCACACUGAGUGUACCCUGUAUACUCAUCCCAUAUUUAACAUUUUCAGGUUUUAAAGGCCGGAGGCGCGUGGAAGGUCGAAUGACGAAUCAAAUAUUUUGAAUUUAGUUUUUCUUAAAAAUGUUAUGUUUAGUAAAGUAUUUUAAAAUAAGAUAUUUAUUUCUUUAUUUUCAUAUUAAA
rnacentral:lncRNA from 1 species